UACGUAGGGGGCUAGCGUUGUCCGGAAUCAUUGGGCGUAAAGCGCGUGUAGGCGGUUCGGUAAGUCCGCUGUGAAAGUCGGGGGCUCAACCCUCGAAUGCCGGUGGAUACUGUCGGGCUAGAGUACGGAAGAGGCGAGUGGAAUUCCUGGUGUAGCGGUGAAAUGCGCAGAUAUCAGGAGGAACACCUAAGGCGAAGGCAGCUCGCUGGAACGGUACUGACGCUGAGGCGCGAAAGCGUGGGGAGCAAACAGG
rnacentral:rRNA from 1 species